AUUGAACGCUGGCGGAAUGCUUUACACAUGCAAGUCGAACGGCAGCACGGGAGCUUGCUCCUGGUGGCGAGUGGCGAACGGGUGAGUAAUGCAUCGGAACGUACCUUUUAGUGGGGGAUAACUAUCCGAAAGGAUGGCUAAUACCGCAUACGCCCUGAGGGGGAAAGCAGGGGAUCGCAAGACCUUGCGCUAAUAGAGCGGCCGAUGUUCGAUUAGCUAGUUGGUGGGGUAAAGGCUCACCAAGGCGACGAUCGAUAGCUGGUCUGAGAGGAUGAUCAGCCACACUGGAACUGAGACACGGUCCAGACUCCUACGGGAGGCAGCAGUGGGGAAUUUUGGACAAUGGGGGCAACCCUGAUCCAGCCAUUCCGCGUGAGUGAAGAAGGCCUUCGGGUUGUAAAGCUCUUUCGGCAGGAACGAAACGGUCAUUACUAAUACUAGUGACUAAUGACGGUACCUGAAGAAGAAGCACCGGCUAACUACGUGCCAGCAGCCGCAGUAA
rnacentral:rRNA from 1 species